rnacentral:rRNA from 1 species
UAGGGAAUCUUCCGCAAUGGGCGAAAGCCUGACGGAGCAACGCCGCGUGAGUGAUGAAGGUCUUCGGGUCGUAAAACUCUGUUAUUAGGGAAGAACAAAUGUGUAAGUAACUAUGCACGUCUUGACGGUACCUAAUCAGAAAGCCACGGCUAACUACGUGCCAGCAGCCGCGGUAAUACGUAGGUGGCAAGCGUUAUCCGGAAUUAUUGGGCGUAAAGCGCGUGUAGGCGGUUUUUUAAGUCUGGUGUGAAAGCCCGCGGCUCAACCGUGGAUGGUUAUUUGAAACUGGAAAACUUGAGUGCAGGAGAGGAAAGUGGAAUUCCAUGUGUAGCGGUGAAAUGCGCAGAGAUAUGGAGGAACACCAGUGGCGAAGGCGACUUUCUGGUCUGUAACUGACGCUGAUGUGCGAAAGCGUGGGGAUCAAACAGG